UUGAUGAUGAUGUGUUGUGAUUGGCACACCGCUGCCUCCAUGGCCCUCUAGAUGGCGCUCUGACCCCCACCGGUCGGCCCACUGCUUGAGAAUGGCGGCCCUGCGGUAUGUGGAGGUCUGUAACAGGGAGCAGCAGGAGUACGUCCUACCUUGAGCACAUCUUCAUCAGUGGAGCUACAGUCGGUGUAGUCAGACACGUCAGUGACUACUCCAUCUUCCUCCACAGCCACCGUCCUCACAGGCAUCACCACCUUCUUCCCAUGCAGAAGGUUUCUGUGGACUGGAGCUCUGCAGGAGGAGACGGGAAGAGAGCCGGGAGUGAUGGAGUGUGACUUGGUGACUCAGCAGUCCUGAUGAGCGAGUGUCUGCUGUCGGGCUGGUGAAGGCGGGUUGGCCGGAUGCCGUCCUCUCGGCUGCCCAGCUGCUGACGGACGG